GCGCGCGCGCGCGCGCGCGCGCACACACACACACACACAUACACACGCGCGCGCGCACACACAAGAGCGCGCGCGCAGCACGCACACCCUAAGAGCCAAGAAUGUGUUCCGGGAGCCCGGGGCAUUUACUUGGCCCAGGGUUGGAUGUGUCUUCGAAUACAACACAUUCAUGGCAGUGGAAGGGCAGUGCAGGGCGCUUCUAGAGCUCUCAGACUCCUGUCGUUCUUCCCCACUCCGCGUGUGCAGACGGCUGAUCGCAGUGGUAGAAACGGCCAUCCUGCAACGGCACUUGCUGGAUCACAGGCACGCAGCAAAGCGCUUCGAGGCAGACACUGUGGUAGCCCCUUCAUCAGGGUGAGAACCCGGAGGCUGAAUUUAAAUCACUGAUUUAAAGCCAAUUUGUUGAAACCCAGGAGUUUAGGAAGCCACUCCUCCUGUGUCCUUCCUUCCCCUCUCCCUCGUCCCUCUUUCCGUCUCCCUUUUUCCUUUUCCCGCCUCUCUCUUCCCUUUUUCCAGCUACCAGGCUCAGAUUUUAGGCUCAUCUGCCAGUGCCCCUGCUUCCUUUCUGUGAGUGCUAGGAAACCCAACUUCUACUUGAGCUCCUCACUUUGAAGAAAAAAAUCAGAUUUCAAACCUCUUCCAUGUUUAGGGAAUUCUCUGGUUAAAACCCCUACUUAUGAUCAUACCAGUGUACACUUUGUGAAUUUGAACCUAUUGUGAAUUUAAUGUGGUCUAAUGAGCUUUGCUUAGGAAAAAACUGUUCUUGGGUCACAGACUUGCAUUUGUUGCUUUCACCAGCCAGAUUUUAAUUAUGUGCUUUUGAUUACCAGGGCAACGAGGGGAGAGACUGGGUCCUCUGGGUGACCUCAUCACCACCAACAGAAAAACAAGGAAACUAGCAGGCGUUGGCUCAUAGAGACAGCAUUACUUUUAUGCCUCGAGACAGCACAUUCAUGGGGCGAUUUCAUCUUGGCAUUGCUGUUUGGUAACCAAACAGUGGCUCUGCCUCUGUGUCGCCUUGGAACUGCUUGGGAAAACAGAAUUCUUUUCUUUGGAAUUCUCUGCUCUUCGUACACACACACACACACACACACACUCACACACACAUACACACACUCACACACACACACUUUCCCUCCACACAAAAUCAAAUACAUGACUUUAUACUGAGUUAGAAUUUAUUUUUCCUUACAUCAAAUGCCAUAGGUAUGUUAAAUGUUUCAGGAAAGAUAUGGGUGGCUUAGCAGCUUCAAAGGACUGUGUGUAGGGAGAAGGCAUUUUAACCUCCAGGGAAGCAAGACUGUGCCUUAGAACAGUGUGGUUACAGUGGUCACUUAAAACAGCGGAGGCAGCAGAGCCCCUGCAUCCUGAACCUCUGCUGCCCUGGUGCACACUAGCCUGGCUUUCACUCAGGCUUUCUCUAAGCAGUGACACCUGCUUUGCCCAUGAAUGAAGCAAACCUGACAUUCAGGAAAUUCACAUCUAUCAGAGGAACUCCGAACCAAUGACAGACCAUUGGUGUGUAGACUGAAUACCCGUGCUUCCUGAAAUAAAACCCGCAGUGACUUUACUAAAGCACAAUGGUUUAUUAUCUCUCACAGUUCUGUAGGUCAGAAAUUCGGGAAGGCUGGGCUGUUUAGUCUUCAGUUGGGAGCCAGAGGAUUGGAAAGCUUGAGGAGGUGUCCCUCUACCUUCUGGGACUUGGGUGUUCUGUGAGGGGGCCUCUUGCUUCCCACAUGGCAAGGAAGUCUAGAUUCUUCACAAGGUGGCAACUGGCCUCCUCAGAGAGCACAGAUGUGAAGUGUCCAAGAGACUGGUGACCUCUCUUCCACCAUCUUCCUCUGAUCAGAGAACAGCCUGGGGGCCUUGGUCCGGGGAAGGAGGAGGAGACCCCACUUUUUGUGAUGAGAAACAGCUGGCCUGUGCCUCCUGUGGGGAGCAGUGGUGAUCAUCAUAUUUGGGGACCACUUUCCACAGGGUGUCUGUCUCCAUCCAGCUCCCUCAGCUAGGAGCUGGUACCUUUGGGGGUCUGCUGUACCCUGGCUCAGCAGAAGUGGGAGUGAAAACUUGGCUACUUUGUCUUUUCUAUCUUCUGUUCUCUCUCCUUUCACCAUGUUUUUGAAAUCAUUUCCUACAAGAACCUCUUGAACUCAAGACCUUACCUUGGAGCGUGCUUCAGGGUGACUCUCACCUAGACUCCAGGGGUCAGGGAUAUUAAGGUGUAAGCUGGCCCUCUGCACUCACAGGUUCUGCACAUGUAGAUUCAAUCAACCCUGGUAGAAAAUAUUCAGGAAGAUAAUCUUUCUGGACUGCAAAUGUAUGGACCUUUUUCUUGCCACCGUUCCUUAAACAAUACAGAAUAACAACUAUUUAUCGACCAUUUCCACUGUAUUAGGUAUUGUAAGUAACCUAGAGAUGGUUUAAAGUGAAUGGAAGUAUGUGCAUAGAUCAAUCCUAGGCAAUUACUAAGUCAUUUUGUAUAAGGGAUUUCAAACAUACAAUGAUUUUGGAACCAAGUGUGUGGCGGAUCCUAGAAUCAAUCCCCCUAUAUACUGAGGCAUGAUUGUUCUCACAUUUCCAGUCAGUUGAAAACUGUGAGUGGGAAUUGGGGGGCAGAUGAGAAAGAUUUUACUUCCUCUGUUGUCAGUCUUACAGUCCACAGGAACUCGGUAGCUUGUGGUGGAGAAUUUAAAAGAAGGGAUGGUGUGCUCUCUUUUUCUCUUCUGAAUACCUGCCUGGGAACUUGAAGGUUUCAUGGGCAAAUCCUCCACAGACCCCUUGGAAAUGGGCGCUGGGUGCUGCUCUCCACCUCAAGGCUCUGAAGGCUCACCAGCAACCUCAUUCUUAUUCACCUUGUGGUUACACAGUGAGUCUCCCAUCCAGAGCAGGAUGACUCGCAACAGAGCUUGGGAUGCUGAUGACAGGGGUUUGUUUUAUUGUUUUAAUCUCUGCUGUGCGAAAUGUAAAUGAACCCCAUUAGAAUAUGUUUAAACGAUUGUUGUAUUUUUCAUGUUUUAGGAAACUUUUCUAUGAAAAAUGAAUCUCAUUCUUUUUAAGAUUUGAGAAAAUUAGCUCCAAGUGGAUUGAGAUGUCAGCUCUCAGGGGCUUGUGUUGUUUCCAAAUGUAUCCCGAAGAGCCAGGAUUCAGCACAAAGUAGACGCUCAAAAAGUAUUUAUGAAACAAGUGGAUCUCUGUAACUUGGGGAGGGGUGAUUCACAGGAAUAGCCUUGCCGUAGCUCUACUUCCCCACACACAUCACCUUGCAGCACUGUAGCAGGAAAUAAAGCAAUGCUAUUGGAAAAAAGAAUCAAUGUCUGCCACUGUUGUGCUUCUUAGAAUCUAGAUAAAGCUGGUAUGGACAUCAUUGACUGAAGGAAACAAACCGUUGUAAAGUUUCUGUAACAAAAAUCUGUGGUUAAAAACUAAGAAAACAAAUGAAGAAUAUUUUCGAAACUCAUACACAGCUGAUACAAAUCUAAAAGGAAAGUUAUGAACUGCUGUUCUUGGAUCGCUGCACAUGUUCUUCA
rnacentral:lncRNA from 1 species